rnacentral:rRNA from 1 species
GACGGAGGAUGCAAGUGUUAUCCGGAAUCACUGGGCGUAAAGCGUCUGUAUGGUGGUUCAAUAAGUCAACUGUUAAAUCUUGAGGCUCAACUUCAAAAUCGCUAGUCGAAACUAUUAAACUAGAGUAUAGUAGGGGUAAAGGGAAUUUCCAGUGGAGCGGUGAAAUGCGUAGAGAUUGGAAAAGAACACCAAUGGCGAAAGCAC